rnacentral:rRNA from 1 species
ACCGGCGAACGGGGUAGGAUCACCUCGGUGACGUACCCUCAGGACGGGGAUAGCGGCGGGAAACUGCCGGUAAUACCCGAUGACCCGGCGAGACUUUAAGGCUCGCCGGCAAAGGUGUGAUUCCGCCUGAGGACCGGCUGAGGCGCUAUUAGCUUGUUGGUGAGGUCACGGCUCACCAAGGCGACGAUGGCUAGGGGGUGUGAGAGCAUGGCCCCCACCACUGGCACUGAGACACUGGCCAGACACCUACGGGUGGCUGCAGUCGAGAAUCUUCGGCAAUGGGCGCAAGCCUGACCGAGCGACGCCGCGUGCGGGAUGAAGGUCUUCGGAUUGUAAACCGCUGUCGGGAGGGAUGGAGUGCCGGAGAGCUAUCUCUCCGGUUUGACAGAGCUCCAGAGGAAGCACGGGCUAAGUUCGUGCCAGCAGCCGCGGUAAUACGAACUGUGCGAACGUUAUUCGGAAUCACUGGGCUUAAAGGGUGCGUAGGCGGCUUGUUAAGUCAGGUGUGAAAUCCCCCGGCUCAACCGGGGAACAGCGCUUGAAACUAGCAGGCUGGAGUGAGGCAGGGGUGUGCGGAACUUCCAGUGGAGCGGUGAAAUGUGUAGAUAUUGGAAGGAACGCCGGCGGCGAAAGCGGCACACUGGGCCUUGUCUGACGCUGAGGCACGAAAGCCAGGGGAGUGAACGGGAUUAGAUACCCCGGUAAUCCUGGCCGU